CACACCGCCCGUCACACCAUGGGAGUUGGUUUCACCCGAAGGCGCUGCGCUAACCCGCAAGGGAGGCAGGCGACCACGGUGGAUCAGCGACUGGGGUG
rnacentral:rRNA from 1 species